GAUGAACGCUGGCGGCGUGCCUAAUACAUGCAAGUCGAGCGAACAGACGAGGAGCUUGCUCCUCUGACGUUAGCGGCGGACGGGUGAGUAACACGUGGAUAACCUACCUAUAAGACUGGGAUAACUUCGGGAAACCGGAGCUAAUACCGGAUAAUAUAUUGAACCGCAUGGUUCAAUAGUGAAAGACGGUUUUGCUGUCACUUAUAGAUGGAUCCGCGCCGCAUUAGCUAGUUGGUAAGGUAACGGCUUACCAAGGCGACGAUGCGUAGCCGACCUGAGAGGGUGAUCGGCCACACUGGAACUGAGACACGGUCCAGACUCCUACGGGAGGCAGCAGUAGGGAAUCUUCCGCAAUGGGCGAAAGCCUGACGGAGCAACGCCGCGUGAGUGAUGAAGGUCUUCGGAUCGUAAAACUCUGUUAUUAGGGAAGAACAAAUGUGUAAGUAACUAUGCACGUCUCGACGGUACCUAAUCAGAAAGCCACGGCUAAUUACGUG
rnacentral:rRNA from 1 species